rnacentral:rRNA from 1 species
AACGAACGCUGGCGGCAUGCCUAACACAUGCAAGUCGAACGAGUGGCGGACGGGUGAGUAGUGGCUGGCAACCUGCGCGAUGGAGGGGGAUAACUACUGGAAAAGGUAGCUAAUACCGCACACCAUCGGAUGUGCCCAGAUGGGAUUAGCUAGUGGGUGGGGUAAUGGCUAAGCUAGGCCGCGAUCCCUAGCUGGACUGAGAGGAGGACCGGCCACACUGGAACUGGGACACGGCCCAGCCGCCUACGCGAGGCAGCAGUGGGGAAUAUGGGGCAAUGGGCGGAAGUCUGACGCAGCCAGGCCGCGUGGAUGAAGAAGGCCUUCGGGUUGUAAAGUACUUUCAGGGGGGAUGCGGUACUCGCAGAAGAAGCACCGGCUAACUACGUGCCAGCAGCCGCGGUAAUAC